GACGAACGCUGGCGGCGUGCUUAACACAUGCAAGUCGAACGAAGUGGCGAACGGGUGAGUAACGCGUAAUCAACCUGCACUUAAGAGGGGGACAACAGUUGGAAACGACUGCUAAUACCUCAUACUGAAGGAGGGGAUUGCGUCUGAUUAGCUAGUUGGCGGGGUAACGGCCCGACAAGGCGAUGAUCAGUAGCGGGUCGGAGAGGAGGAACGGCCACAUUGGGACUGGGACAAGGCCCAGACUCCUACGGGAGGCAGCAGUGGGGAAUCUUCCGCAAUGGACGAAAGUCUGACGGAGCAACGGCGCGGGAGUGAUGACGGCCUUCGGGUUGUAAAGCUCUGUUAAUCGGGACGCGGGACCGGAAUAGAAAGCCACGGCUAACUACGUGCCAGCAGCCGCGGUAAUUC
rnacentral:rRNA from 1 species